rnacentral:rRNA from 1 species
CCUACGGGUGGCAGCAGUGAGGAAUAUUGGUCAAUGGACGAGAGUCUGAACCAGCCAAGUAGCGUGAAGGAUGACUGCCCUAUGGGUUGUAAACUUCUUUUAUAUGGGAAUAAAAUGUUCCACGUGUGGGAUUUUGUAUGUACCAUAUGAAUAAGGAUCGGCUAACUCCGUGCCAGCAGCCGCGGUAAUACGGAGGAGCCGAGCGUUAUCCGGAUUUAUUGGGGUUAAAGGGAGCGUAGGUGGAUUGUUAAGUCAGUUGUGAAAGUUUGCGGCUCAACCGUAAAAUUGCAGUUGAAACUGGCAGUCUUGAGUACAGUAGAGGUGGGCGGAAUUCGUGGUGUAGCGGUGAAAUGCUUAGAUAUCACGAAGAACUCCGAUUGCGAAGGCAGUUCACUGGACUGCAACUGACACUGAGGCUCGAAAGUGUGAGUAUCAAACAGGAUUAGAUACCCUUGUAGUC